GACGAACGCUGGCGGCGUGCUUAACACAUGCAAGUCGAACGGAAAGGCCCUGCUUUUGUGGGGUGCUCGAGUGGCGAACGGGUGAGUAACACGUGAGUAACCUGCCCUUGACUUUGGGAUAACUUCAGGAAACUGGGGCUAAUACCGGAUAGGAGCUCCUGCUGCAUGGUGGGGGUUGGAAAGUUUCGGCGGUUGGGGAUGGACUCGGGGCUUAUCAGCUUGUUGGUGGGGGAGUGGCUUACCAAGGCUUUGACGGGUAGCCGGCCUGAGAGGGUGAACGGCCACAUUGGGACUGAGAUACGGCCCAGACUCCUACGGGAGGCAGCAGUGGGGAAUAUUGCACAAUGGGCGGAAGCCUGAUGCAGCAACGCCGCGUGCGGGAUGACGGCCUUCGGGUUGUAAACCGCUUUCGCCUGUGACGAAGCGUGAGUGACGGUAAUGGGUAAAGAAGCACCGGCUAACUACGUG
rnacentral:rRNA from 1 species